rnacentral:rRNA from 1 species
AGUGAACGCUGGCGGUAGGCCUAACACAUGCGAGUCGAACGGCAGCACAGUAAGAGCUUGCUCUUACGGGUGGCGAGUGGCGGACGGGUGAGGAAUACAUCGGAAUCUACUUUUUCGUGGGGGAUAACGUAGGGAAACUUACGCUAAUACCGCAUACGACCUACGGGUGAAAGCAGGGGAUCUUCGGACCUUGCGCGAUUGAAUGAGCCGAUGUCGGAUUAGCUAGUUGGCGGGGUAAAGGCCCACCAAGGCGACGAUCCGUAGCUGGUCUGAGAGGAUGAUCAGCCACACUGGAACUGAGACACGGUCCAGACUCCUACGGGAGGCAGCAGUGGGGAAUAUUGGACAAUGGGCGCAAGCCUGAUCCAGCCAUACCGCGUGGGUGAAGAAGGCCUUCGGGUUGUAAAGCCCUUUUGUUGGGAAAGAAAAGCAGCAGGUUAAUACCCCGCUGUUCUGACGGUACCCAAAGAAUGAGCACCGGCUAACUUCGU